GCUGGCGGCGUGCUUAACACAUGCAAGUCGUACGAGAACUCUUCUGCUUGCAGAAGAUAGUAAAGUGGCGCACGGGUGAGUAACGCGUGGGUAAUCUACCUCCGAAUCGGGGAUAACCCGCCGAAAGGCGAGCUAAUACCGGAUAAUAUCUUUAAAACUUAGGUUUUUAAGAUCAAAGGUGGUCUCUACAUGUAAGCUACUGUUUGGAGAUGAGCCCGCGUACCAUUAGCUUGUUGGUAGGGUAAUGGCNNACCAAGGCCGCGAUGGUUAGCUGGUCUGAGAGGAUGAUCAGCCACACUGGAACUGACACACGGUCCAGACUCCUACGGGAGGCAGCAGUGAGGAAUUUUGCGCAAUGGGGGAAACCCUGACGCAGCAACGCCGCGUGAGUGAUGAAGGCUUUCGGGUCGUAAAGCUCUGUCAAGUGGGA
rnacentral:rRNA from 1 species